UGGCGGUUCUCCGAUUCGAGCAGGGUUCGACCAGUGGUGAGAGAUUUAUUUGAAGAAAAUCCCCAACUGGACGCAAACCACGACUGAAGACGAGGGAACAGCAACAAGUGAACCAGCCCGAGGACUGAGAGCACCGACUGGAGAGAACCCAUCUGACUCGCAGAUUCCAGUGAUUCAGUCAGGAGAAAGUUUGAUCUCAACUUUCUGCAGAUUCCUCCAAAGUGAAGGCUUUUUUUUACAUAAGAUUAAAUUUCCUCAAAUUACUGUUGAAGAUCAACAGAUGCCUGAUGCACCAGUUAUUGAGCAUUUAAUUCAGAAAACUAUGUUGUUAAUGCAGUCAGGUCAAGCUCCUGGACUUGAUGUGUAUUUGGUAGGAUUUUACAUAAAAAUUGAAAGGUUACUUUCUCGUUACCUGUUGGAAAUAUUUCAUGAAUCCUUUGAGAAGGGUAGUUUACCUUUUUAUGAAGCUUCUAUUUCUUUAAUCCUUAAGAAAGAUAAAAAUCCUACUGAACGUUCAUCAUAUAGACCUAUUUCGUUAUUAAAUGUGGAUUUGAAAACUCUCUCUAAGAUAAUGGCUAACCACUUGGAAAAUAUUUCAACUAAAAUUAUCUCGAUGGAGCCAACAGGCUUUAUUAAAGGUCGUUACUGUUUCUCCAGUGUUCGGAGAUUGAUGAACAUUAUAUAUUCAUCACUAUCUAAGGAACCCCAAUGUGUUAACUCUUUCGAUGCAGGACAGGCAUUUGAUAGAGUUGAGUGGUCAUAUUUGUUUAAAAUUUUAGGAAAAAAUUGGUUUUGGUAAUAAUUUCAACAGGUGGAUUCAAAUGAUUUAUGAGAAUCCUAUUGCCACAGUUAUUACUAAUAAUUUCAGGUCCUUUUUUUUCCCACUUUCAGUGGCACAAGACAGGGUUUUCCAUUAAGCCCUUCAUUAUUUAAUCUUGUACUGGAGCCUUUGGCCAUAAAACUCCGUGAAGCUAAAAAUAUUCAUGGUAUUUCUAUG